rnacentral:misc_RNA from 1 species
GUUGUUUCAAAGACUAAUGGAAAGUGCAGGUAAAUUGGAAGAAAAUACCGAGGAAAAUGAAGAUGGUGAAACCAGCGAUACUAAAAAAUCAACAGAACUUGCUGCUAAUGGGAUGGGAAAUGAUCAUGCAAAGGAUGCGGGUUCUUCAAAAAAGCGUAAAGAUCACAAAUCUGUUCUUAUCAAGCAAGAAGAAAGAGAAACGGGUGUAGUCAGUUGGAAAGUUUUAUCAAGAUACAAGGAUGCAU